GACAGAGGGUGCAAACGUUGUUCGGAAUUACUGGGCGUAAAGCGUGUGUAGGCGGCCACGUAAGUCGGAUGUGAAAGCCCCGGGCUCAACCCGGGAAGUGCACUCGAUACUGCAGGGCUAGAGUGCAGAAGGGGCAACUGGAAUUCUCGGUGUAGCGGUGAAAUGCGUAGAUAUCGAGAGGAACACCUGCGGCGAAGGCGGGUUGCUGGGCUGACACUGACGCUGAAGCGCGAAAGCUAGGGGAGCGAACGGG
rnacentral:rRNA from 1 species